rnacentral:rRNA from 1 species
CACUCUAUACGGAGUUACAAAGGACGACAUUAGACGAAUCAUCUGGAAAGAUGAAUCAAAGAAGGUAAUAAUCCUGUAGUCGAAAAUGUUGUCUCUCUUGAGUGGAUCCUGAGUACGACGGAGCACGUGAAAUUCCGUCGGAAUCUGGGAGGACCAUCUCCUAAGGCUAAAUACUCUCUAGUGACCGAUAGUGAACCAGUACCGUGAGGGAAAGGUGAAAAGCACCCCGGAAGGGGAGUGAAAUAGAACCUGAAACCGUGUGCUUACAAGUAGUCAGAGCCCGUUAAUGGGUGAUGGCGUGCCUUUUGUAGAAUGAACCGGCGAGUUACGAUUUGAUGCAAGGUUAAGCAGUAAAUGUGGAGCCGUAGCGAAAGCGAGUCUGAAUAGGGCGUUUAGUAUUUGGUCGUAGACCCGAAACCAGGUGAUCUACCCUUGGUCAGGUUGAAGUUCAGGUAACACUGAAUGGAGGACCGAACCGACUUACGUUGAAAAGUGAGCGGAUGAACUGAGGGUAGCGGAGAAAUUCCAAUCGAACCUGGAGAUAGCUGGUUCUCUCCGAAAUAGCUUUAGGGCUAGCCUCAAGUGAUGAUUAUUGGAGGUAGAGCACUGUUUGGACGAGGGGCCCCUCUCGGGUUACCGAAUUCAGACAAACUCCGAAUGCCAAUUAAUUUAACUUGGGAGUCAGAACAUGGGUGAUAAGGUCCGUGUUCGAAAGGGAAACAGCCCAGACCACCAGCUAAGGUCCCAAAAUAUAUGUUAAGUGGAAAAGGAUGUGGCGUUGCCCAGACAACUAGGAUGUUGGCUUAGAAGCAGCCAUCAUUUAAAGAGUGCGUAAUAGCUCACUAGUCGAGUGACACUGCGCCGAAAAUGUACCGGGGCUAAACAUAUUACCGAAGCUGUGGAUUGUCCUUUGGACAAUGGUAGGAGAGCGUUCUAAGGGCGUUGAAGCAUGAUCGUAAGGACAUGUGGAGCGCUUAGAAGUGAGAAUGCCGGUGUGAGUAGCGAAAGACGGGUGAGAAUCCCGUCCACCGAUUGACUAAGGUUUCCAGAGGAAGGCUCGUCCGCUCUGGGUUAGUCGGGUCCUAAGCUGAGGCCGACAGGCGUAGGCGAUGGAUAACAGGUUGAUAUUCCUGUACCACCUAUAAUCGUUUUAAUCGA